rnacentral:rRNA from 1 species
UACGUAGGGGGCAAGCGUUGUCCGGAUUUAUUGGGCGUAAAGAGCGUGUAGGCGGCCAGACAGGUCAGCUGUGAAAACUCGAGGCUCAACCUCGAGACGUCGGUUGAAACCGUCUGGCUAGAGUCCGGAAGAGGAGAGUGGAAUUCCCGGUGUAGCGGUGAAAUGCGCAGAUAUCGGGAAGAACACCCGUGGCGAAGGCGGCUCUCUGGGACGGUACUGACGCUGAGACGCGAAAGCGUGGGGAGCCGAACGAGG